rnacentral:ncRNA from 1 species
CACCAUCAUCAAGAAUGCAGAAGAACACUGCAUACCAACCGAGCAGCCAAGCAGCGGUGGUCAAUCGAUGAGGACCAAAAACGUCAAAAAAAUGGAAAUCACA